GACAGAGGAUGCAAGCGUUAUCCGGAAUGAUUGGGCGUAAAGCGUCUGUAGGUGGUUUAUUAAGUCUACUGUUAAAGAUCAGGGCUUAACCCUGAGCAGGCAAUAGAAACUAAUAGGCUAGAGUACGGUAGGGGCAGAGGGAAUUCCCGGUGUAGCGGUGAAAUGCGUAGAGAUCGGGAAGAACACCAACGGCGAAAGCACGCUGCUGGGCCGAAACUGACACUGAGAGACGAAAGCUAGGGGAGCAAAUGGG
rnacentral:rRNA from 1 species